UGAACAACUCGUACGAAAAUAAAUAGAAAAAAGUGCCUGUUCCGCCCCCUCUAAAAUUGGAGGAGUGUUCCGUCGGUGCUUUUUAUUGUCAAUGUUGCGAUCCAGUAGCCGCCUUGGUGCAAUCCAGUUAUCGGUUGCUGACUUUCAUCUGCCAUUCCCAAAACUAUCACUCUUUCUGGACUAAUACCCACAGAUUACCAAACACUCGUAGCAGGAAGUCAACCAAGAGAUAAGCCCACAAUGCCUGUAAAAUUUAACCCCUUUUACGUUGGACCCUGUCCACCUGGAUGUGUUGACUGUGGUCCAUGCUGCGGGCCGUGCUGUGACCCUUGCUGUGGACCCUGCUGUGGACCUUGCUGCGGUCCAUGCGGCCCAUGCGGACCCUGCUGUGGACCUUGCGGCGGAUGCUGCUCCUCCUGCGGCCCCAGCUGUUAACGCUAAAUAAUUGCGUUGAUGAUGGAUCAAGAGCUGGCACUCUAUCAGUACGUUGUUAGGACCCCAUUCAAAAUUUAAAGUAAAAAAACUAUCAGCAAGGCAA